rnacentral:rRNA from 1 species
GGACCCGCACAAGUAGUGGAGCAUGUGGUUUAAUUCGAAGAUACGCGCAGAACCUUACCAACACUUGACAUGUUCGUCGCGACUUUAAGAGAUUAAAGUUUUCGGUUCGGCCGGACGAAACACAGGUGCUGCAUGGCUGUCGUCAGCUCGUGUCGUGAGAUGUUGGGUUAAGUCCCGCAACGAGCGCAACCCACGUCUUUAGUUGCCAUCAUUUAGUGGGCACUCUGAAAGAACUGCCAGUGAUAAGCUGGAGGAAGGUGGGGAUGACGUCAAGUCCUCAUGGCCCUUACGUGUUGGGCUACACACGUGCUACAAUGGUAUCUACAACAGGAAGCAAAACGGCGACGUUAAGCAAAUCCUUAAAAGAUACCUCAGUUCGGAUUGCACUCUGCAACUCGAGUGCAUGAAGCUGGAAUUACUAGUAAUCG